rnacentral:rRNA from 1 species
UACAGAGGUGGCAAGCGUUGUUCGGAAUUACUGGGCGUAAAGGGCGCGUAGGCGGUUCGAUAAGUCCCGUGUGAAAUCCCUCGGCUCAACUGAGGAACUGCACGGGAAACUGACGGGCUUGAGUUCGGGAGAGGGAAGCGGAAUUCCGGGUGUAGCGGUGAAAUGCGUAGAUAUCCGGAGGAACACCGGUGGCGAAGGCGGCUUCCUGGACCGACACUGACGCUGAGGCGCGAAAGCUAGGGGAGCGAACGGG